rnacentral:antisense_RNA from 1 species
UUUGAUCGACCCCAGCCAGAGCGGCUCGGCGCGAUCCUGCCCGUAGCUGGCCAACAACGCCUGAGCCUC